GCAAUACCGCUGACGACCGGCGCACGGGUGAGUAACACGUAUCCAACCUUCCCAUAACUCGGGGAUAGCCUUUCGAAAGAAAGAUUAAUACCCGAUAGUACUUUAUUAAGGCAUCUUAAGAAAGUUAAAGAUUUAUUGGUUAUGGAUGGGGAUGCGUUCCAUUAGAUAGUUGGUGAGGUAACGGCUCACCAAGUCUUCGAUGGAUAGGGGUUCUGAGAGGAAGGUCCCCCACAUUGGUACUGAGACACGGGCCAAACUCCUACGGGAGGCAGCAGUGAGGAAUAUUGGUCAAUGGGCGAGAGCCUGAACCAGCCAAGUAGCGUGAAGGAUGACGG
rnacentral:rRNA from 1 species